GGAACUAAUUGAAUUUCUACAGGGCUCCUAGGAGCUGCAGUAACUCACUUUAGGAUGAUACAGUUACCUGCAAUUGUCUUGCUAGAAAAUGAAGAACAAUUUGGCAACUGUGAUCCCCUGCCCUGAAUCUGUUGUUCCUAUUUUGUUUUUAACUCUUCGGAGUAAAAUUCCUCUCCCUGGGCCUCCCAGCUCUGGAUAAAAGUGGUGCAGACUCUAAGGAAAAAUUGCCACUUCUCACAACACAGCCUUGGCCCUGCUAUGACCUGGACACUGCUCCUCUUGGUGAGAUGAGAAGAAGGGCUGGAGACUUCUAAGCCAUAGUUCCUGCCAUCCUGAACCUCACCUGCAGCUCUUGAUGAGGACACUGUUGAACCCUGGGAUGUGUUCCUGGUGCUGUAUUUCCUAUUUUGCAAGCUCUUCCAUCUUCUGCGUGAUCUCGGUGUCCUCAGAGCUUCUUCAUCUGCACUGCAACUCUGUUAGCACCAGUAUUUGUGAGUUUUCCUAUUAUUGUUGCUUAAUAAUUUGGGGGCUCAUUUUCAGUCCUACCCAUUUCCUGCUGAUCCACUCCACUACCGCCAUUACCUUUAUAGAACAUAUCACAAGAGUCAUCUGCCUUAAACCUGUUUGAAACUGGUGUUUUAAGGCCUACAGGAUAACAUACCAACUCCUUGCUGUUGGGUUUUAAAGUAGAGCUUAAUUAUUCACACUUCUUCCUUUCUUGAUUCAGAAUUGAAUAUGAAUUAGACAUAUAAGUCAGAUGGGAAUGAAAAUUCA